CUUGAAGACUAUUAUUAAAUUAUCCUACUCUACUUAAAUAGUAGGCCUUUUGUUUCAAGUAGCCUGCACUAUAUCUUAAUAUCCAUUGAUGAUAUGUUAUUGAAAAUACCACGGGCUUAAUAUGAUGCUUAUAAAUUAAUUCAGAUAAAGGAGAUAAUAGUGUGAAGGAUUUCUAGCAGGAAAUGAGUUGCUUGUUUCACAUGGUUAGUAGCCUUUUAAUCUGUUUAACAUGAGGUAAUCUACAAUAAAAUGUUCCAGCUUAUGCAAUAGGAGUUGCAUGUACAGAGAAGAUCAGGAAGGAAACAAUCCACUGUCUUCUCACUUUUAGAAACUAUUGCUCUGUCGAAAUACUGAUAAUUAUAUGAAGUUAUAGCUUGAAACUAACUGAAGUUUCUAUGAAAUAUAUAUUAUGCAGGGAUUUCUGAAACAAGUCUAAUUAGCUUUGGAACUUGCUUCGAAAGAUAUUAGUAAUGAAAUGUGGCUCACAUUGCAUGGAAUAGUGACAGAAUAAAAAAGAAUUUCCCAUUUAAUGUUAUUUGACACACAUUUGAGCAGUUUGUCAGACUCCAUUUUGAAAUGGGAGUUCAUUACUUAAUCCUCUCUUUGGGGUCCAAUCUCAAAAUAGUGCAAAGGUUGUUGAUGUACUUCAGCUGAAGCUAUGAUAAAAUUGUUUAUUAUGAGUUUAAGUAAAGCAGGAUGAGUAUGUUCAACUGUGAAAUGCAAGAUCAAUAUUCAUUGUAUCAUUUGAGUUGAAUAUCUUGUAUUAUAUGAAGAUCAAAUAACUACCGGAAGAAUCAAUGAAGUUACAAUUAUGUAACAAAAAAAUAUGUUAAGAAAUUUCAGUGGAAGCUUGUGAUUUUUUUGCUUUAA